rnacentral:rRNA from 1 species
UACGGAGGGUGCGAGCGUUGUCCGGAAUCACUGGGCGUAAAGGCGCGUAGGCGGCCUGAUAAGUAGGGGGUGAAAUCCUGCGGCUUAACCGCAGGGCUGCCUUCUAAACUGUCAGGCUGGAGCACAGUAGAGGCAGGUGGAAUUCCCGGUGUAGCGGUGGAAUGCGUAGAGAUCGGGAAGAACAUCAGUGGCGAAGGCGGCCUGCUGGGGUGAGGCUGACGCUGAGGCGCGACAGCGUGGGGAGCAAACAGG